rnacentral:tRNA from 1 species
GGGCCUAUAGCUCAGUUGGUUAGAGCAGCAGACUCAUAAUCUGCGGGUCGAAGGUUCGAAUCCUUCUGGGCCCA